AGUACAUAAACGCCUACGUCAGAAUCUGGAGUCAGCUGGAGUGUGCCAGCAGGCCAUCUGGAGUGAAAAUGAAGUCUGCCCAGAGCUGCUGGAAGCCCCAGCUGCCCUGCUGCCCAUGGAGUCCUCUGAGGACGACUCCAGAGUCCCUCAACUCCUUGGAGGAGAUAAGCAGCCAACACAGUGUUGUUCAGCAGAUGCCACCGUCUGCCAUGUAAGUUAAAUAAGGCAGACAGCAGCAGCUAAGGAGAUUUUAGCCUCCUGUUCUAAACAGUAUUUUAGCUUAACAGCAGAAAACGUUUAACAUGUUCCCCCACUCCUAGAAAAACAAGCAAUUUAUCUUCAGGGAGAGGGAGAAAAAGCACUUUCCACCAUUCUGAUGGGUCAUCAAGUUUAAAAGCUCUCUUAUCCCUAAACCUUUAGAGAAACUAACAGAAAGUAUGUUUCCCUUUCCCUGCAGCUUAUUUACCUUGCAAAUUGUUUGUCUGCCCGGAAGUGCUACAAUAAUGGCUACAUAUAUAUUUUUGUUUCCAGAUUCAUUAAUGAUGUCAGAAGUGUAAAACUAAAGGCAGAAGACUGUUGUUUUCAAGAUUGCUCCCCAACUAGGCUUGGCGACCCUUGAAGGCAGAGGACCUUUCUGAGUUAUCUUUGUACCCUGCAUAGUCCUGGCACAAAAUAGCACCUAAGUCAUUCAUUUAGCAAAUUUUUUAAAACAAUAUUCCUGUCAUGACACAUUCAGCAAUUAUUUAUUUAUUUAUUUAUUUAUAUUAUUUUUAGAAACAGGGUCUUGCUCUGUCACCCUGGCUGGAGUGCAGUGGUGCAAUCAUAGCUGCAACCUCGACCUCCCAGGCUUAAGUGAUCCUCCCACCUCAGUCUGUAGAAUAGCUGGGACUACAGGAAUACACCACCACAACCCAGCUCAUUAAAAAAAAAAUUCUGUAGAGACAAGGGUGUCUUGCUAUGUUUCCCAGGCUGGUCUCAAACUCCUAGCCUCAAGCAGUCUUCUCAUGCUGGCCCCCCAAAUCACUAGAAGUACAGGCAUGAGGCACCAUGCUUGGCUAUAAGCACAUUUUUAAUGAGCACUUAGUAUGUGCCACAUGCUGCAGAUGUAGCCACAAGCCUCUGACCUCACAGACCUCAUAUUAAACAAGUAAACAAAUAAGGUAAUUUUAGAUUUUUUUCAGUGCUACAAAAUAAAAACAGGGAAAUAGGAGAGAGAGUAGAGAACAGGACUUUGAGAAGAAAGUCUGGAAUCC
rnacentral:lncRNA from 1 species